UGGAAUUCAAGCUGUGGGUGGGAAUGCUAGAAUGCUAGAAGUGGUACCACAGGUCUACUGAGCACUUUGCAAACUCGGUCCUGAGGCUGAGUGCUAAACUGUCUUUAACUUUAACUUUCAACUCUUUAAUUUUUCCUCUCCAAUAUGGCUGUCACAUAAAAAGUACUGGCGCCCUAUGUGGGACACUAAGUUCGUCCGGCAGAACGUGUGACUCUUCCUGGCUCCCUCAGGCAGACACAGCUCUCUCCACCAUUCCACCUAAGAAAUUGAUUUUGAGAUUUGAGUAACUUGGGGCUGGCAAUGUAGUUGCCAGCUUGCCUAACAUGCAGGAAGCCUUGGAUUCAGUUCCCAGUGCUGACUAAAGGCAGGAAAGGUAGCAACACACACACCUGUGAUCCCCUGUCCCUUAGCAGGAAGACCAGGAGUUCAAGUUCAUCCUCAUUCUUGGAUAUGUAGUGAGUUGAAGGCUAACUUGGACUACAUGAGAACACACAUACCACACACCACACAUACACAUAUACUCAAACCAAUAUAUACAAAUACAUUCAUACAAAUAUACACAAAUGCACACACACACACACACACACACACACACACACACACACACACAAUUAGACUUUAGUCUCUUGAUUCCAUAGUCAGGAAGUAUGCAGCCCAUGACUACACCAGACACUAAGCCCCUACUGUGAACCUCCUCACCCUAGUUCCCCACCUGGCAUUCCAUUCCCAAGAGAAGGGAAUCACACUUAAUUCUCCUGAAGAGAGUCACACGAACAGCUAUCUAAGUCAGGAAAAGAUCUCUCCUGCUGCUGUUCUUUGUGGACAGGAGCUUGGGUAGUGGCCAUCUGGUCUACCCUGGACUUCUCAUAGAAU
rnacentral:lncRNA from 1 species